GCUUUAAUAGUAUAAUAAAUACCUUGGUCUUGUAAACCAAUAAUGAAGACUAAAUCUUCUUAAAGCU
rnacentral:tRNA from 1 species